rnacentral:rRNA from 1 species
UAGGGAAUCUUCGGCAAUGGGGGCAACCCUGACCGAGCAACGCCGCGUGAGUGAAGAAGGUCUUCGGAUCGUAAAACUCUGUUGUUAGAGAAGAACACGAGUGAGAGUAACUGUUCAUUCGAUGACGGUAUCUAACCAGCAAGUCACGGCUAACUACGUACCAG